rnacentral:lncRNA from 1 species
GAUUUUUUUGAGCUUAUGCAAUUUUUCGAGGGUAGUCAUCAGGACAGGAACCUGUGAGACAUAGUAAAGUUUACCGCUAAUCAUCUAAUCUAAUCUAAUCUCAUACAGUAACUUAUAAAAACAGUUCGAAGAAAUAAUUGAUUUUUUAUUCUUAGAUUGAACAUUUGAACAUCGCUAGCCGCAACAUCUCUCACAGCUUCCACCGGUAAAUUUCACACCGUAUCUCCGCCGCUGCCCCUCCGACGCCGCUCUCGAUCUACGGUCAUCGUAAUCUCCACUUUCCUUCUUAACUGGUACGUUCGUUCCGUUUCUAUUUUUUUUAAUGUUAAUUGUUGAAUUAGGGUUUUAAGAAUGAGAAUAUACUCAAUUUCUUAGUUCAUUCAUUUUUCACUGAAAAUUUCUCUAUUGCUAUUUGUGUAGAAGCUGAUAUCGAAGUUUCAGCUACAUCACUGCCAUGGAGGUCAGUAUCAUAUGCAUUCUGUUUUCAAUCAUGCUAAACGGUUUGGAAUAUUGGUUUUGUUGUUGAUCUUAUUUUGUUAUUGUUUGUGAAUAGAAAAAUGGAGAUGGUGCUGAAAUUGUUGACAUAAACAAGACUACAAUGACUUUGGAACCGGAAAAGUCCACCGGUGGUGGACUUUAUGUUCCCGGGAAGGAUCGUGUAGUUUACGUGGCACCGNNN